UGGGAUUUUUACAUGUCAAGUUCGGCCAGGUUCGCUGUUUCAAGAAAAAAAUGAUGCAGAACAUUGGGCAUCUUGGGGUGUUGACUAUUUGAAGUACGACAACUGCUACAAUCUGGGCCUCCCACCACAAAAAAGAUACCCACCCAUGCGGGAUGCCCUUAAUGCUACUGGACGAACUAUUUUUUACGCACUUUGUGAAUGGGGCAUUGAUGACCCUGCCAAAUGGGCAGGAAAAAUUGGAAACAGUUGGCGUACAACAGAUGAUAUCAAUGAUACAUGGAUAAGCAUGACAACGAUUGCCGAUAUCAAUAACAAGUGGGCUUCCUAUGCUGGACCCGGUGGAUGGAACGAUCCUGAUAUGUUAGAAGUUGGGAAUGGCGGCAUGAAUUACCACGAGUACAAAGGGCACUUUAGCAUCUGGGCUCUGAUGAAGGCUCCACUUAUAAUUGGUUGUGAUGUCAGAAACAUCACUGCUGAUGCUUUAGAAAUUCUUUCCAAUAAAGAGGUUAUCGCUGUUAACCAAGAUCCCCUUGGCGUUCAGGGUAGGAGAGUUUACUCUUCUGGACCAGAUGGUUGCCAGCAGGUUUGGGCUGGUCCAUUGUCUCGAAACCGUUUGGCUAUGGUACUCUGGAACAGAUGUUCAAAAGCUGCAACUAUUACUGCUAAAUGGAGUGCCAUUGGACUAGAACCCUCGAUUAGCGUCUCUAUGAGAGACUUGUGGAAGCAUAAAGUUGUCUCAGAGAACACGGUGGGCUCAUUUAGUGCCCGGGUUAAAGCUCAUGGCUGUGAAAUGUACAUUUUAACUCCACAGAGAGCUACUCGAUCUUCUAUAUAACUGAAGUGCAAGAGGAGUUCGCGGCUUGUACAACCUCAAUAGUAGGCUUCCCUGUUUGUUAAGUCUUUCUAAUCUACAUCUGUGCCUACUGUUCUCUUCAUGCUCUUAUACAUUACUAGUUCCCUUUGAACUUGCAA
rnacentral:misc_RNA from 1 species